rnacentral:rRNA from 1 species
ACGUCCUAACGGGAGGCAGCANUUGGGGAAUAUUGGACAAGUGGGGGAACCCUGAUCCAGCCAUGCCGCGNGUGUGAAGAAGGCCUUUUUGGUUGUAAAGCACUUUUAAGCGAGGAGGAGGCUUACCUGGUUAAUACCCGGGAUAAGUGGACGUUACUCGCAGAAUAAGCACCGGCUAACUCUGUGCCAGCAGCCGCGGUAAUACAGAGGGUGCAAGCGUUAAUCGGAUUUACUGGGCGUAAAGCGCGCGUAGGUGGCUAAUUAAGUCAAAUGUGAAAUCCCCGAGCUUAACUUGGGAAUUGCAUUCGAUACUGGUUAGCUAGAGUAUGGGAGAGGAUGGUAGAAUUCCAGGUGUAGCGGUGAAAUGCGUAGAGAUCUGGAGGAAUACCGAUGGCGAAGGCAGCCAUCUGGCCUAAUACUGACACUGAGGUGCGAAAGCAUGGGGAGCAAACAGGAUUAGAUACCCUGGUAG